GAGAAAGGGAAAGAGAAGGGGAAGAGGAAUAUUUUGGAGGGAUAUAUUUGUGCGGGCAAAAAUGUCAUUUUAUAAUAAAACUGUUAAAAAAUAAACAGUUCACUCACGGAUGUUAACCAGAGGGACAUAUCUGCAUAACUUAUGACUUUUGCAGGGAUAACUUAUGAAAUUUUUGUUUUGCAGGGAUAUUUCCGCAAUUCACUAUGUUUACAGGGAUGUGUAUGCAAAUAA
rnacentral:lncRNA from 1 species